UUGUAUUUUUAGUGGAGACGGGGUUUCACCAUGUUAGCCAGGAUGGUCUCGAUCGCCUGACCUCAUGAUCUGCCCACCUUGGCCUCCCAAAGUGCUGGGAUUACAGGCGUGAGCCACUGCACUUGGCCAAAAUAGCAGAAUUUUUUUUUUUUUCUUUUUUUUAAAGACAGAGUCUCGCUCUUUCGCCCAGGCUGGAGUGCAGUGGUUUGAUCUCGGCUCACUGCAGCCUCCGCCUCUCGGAUCAAGCAACUAUCCUGCUUCAGCCUCCCAAGUAGCUGGGACUACAGGCAUGCACCACCACAUCCAGCUAAUUUUUGUAUUUUUGUUUGUUUUUUUUUUUCUUGAGACAGAGUCUCCCUCUGUCAUCCAGGCUGGAGUGCAGUGGCGCGAUCUUUGCUCACUACAAGCUCCGCCUCCCGGGUUCACACCAUUCUCCUGCCUCAGCCUCCCGCGUAGCUGGGACUACAGGUGCCUGCCACCACGCCCGGCUAAUUUUUUGUAUUUUUAGUAGAGACGGAGUUUUGCCGUGUUAGCCAGGAUGGUCUUGAUCUCCUGACCUCGUGAUCCGCCCACCUCGGCCUCCCAAAGUGCUGAGAUUACAGGCGUGAGCCACCUCGCCCAGCCAAAAUAGCAGAAUCUUAAGAGUUAGAAGACACCGUUAAAAUCACCCACCCUCUCUUAGGCUGAAAUUCCUAAGCAACACAUCUCUCUGGCUUAUAGCAUUUUAAUUAAGGAAUUAACAUUUUCUAAGGUAAGGAAGUUACUACUUUCGUAGGCAACUAAUGACAUUUUUGCAUAACUAAUUUUUAGGAAGUUUUUUCUUAUUUGAACCAAAUUUUAUCUCUGGACUAAUACCAAAUAUGUCUAUAUGACAGCACUUUGAAUAUUGGAGGUCCGUUUUCAUGCCCUUCUCCCCAGACAAACCUUUAAUUUGCUACAACAAAUUUUUAAGGAUCUCUGGAAUCACGGCAUUAUUGUUAUGCAUCUACAUGGACUUACGAUAAAGUUUUCCAGACCAGGAAGUCUGCCCAAAAUUUUGGAGUUUAACUUAACGAAAUUAGAAUCCAGCUACAAAGUUAAAGAGAAGACCACCUUUACUUCUGACACCCACCACAAGUUCCAUAUUGCCCCAAACCACCUUCAGAUUCCAUAAUUUACUAGAAAUACAGAACUCACUGAAACUUAUUAUACUCACAGUUUUAUUUAUUACAGGGGAAUGAUUCAUAAAAUCAGUCAAAGAAAGACACAUAGUACAGAGUCUGGAAGGGUUCCAAAUGGGAGAUCUGUGCUGUCUUUAGGAUAUAUUCCUCUUCUACUACUGAUGUGUGAUGGUAUAUUUUUGGCCCAUUUUGUGUUGGUAUAACAGAAUACCACACACUAGAUAGUUUAUAAUGAACAGAAAUUGAUUUAUCACAGUUCUGGAGGCUGGGGAGUCCAAGACCAAGCAACCAGCAUCUGGGCCUUCUCAGUGUGUCAUCCCGUGGCAGAAGGUGGAAGGGCAAGAGAGGGAGAGAGAGUAAAAGAGGGACAAGAGGGUCAAUCUACGCCUUUUAUAACAAACUCACUCCCAUGAUAACAGCAUUAAUCCAUUCACUUUGCCCUCAUGGACUAAUCGCCUCUCAUUAGGCCCUACCACUCAACACUCUGGAAUUGGAAAUUUAACUUUUAAAUGCAUGCUUUUUAGGGGACGUAUUCAAAACACUGCAAUACAUAUGAAGAACUAUCAAACAGGGAAGCUCAACUGAGCUUCUGUACUCAAAGAUUUUGUUGGAGUUUCAAUACAUAGGCAUGACUGAUUGAUUAACAAUAUAGCAAGUUGUCCAAAGAGCCCAUGAUGAAUAACAAAGACAUUCUUAUCACCUGGUGAAUUUCAAGGGUUUACAGAUUACCUCCAAAGAACCAGAUACAAAGACUGGGCCUCUCUUUGAGUGAGGCCAAAUUUCUUUCUAUGCUGUAUCAUUUGCUAUUUUCUUGGCCCCAAAUACUCCAAUUUCUUCAACUUACAUGAGAUACAGUUUCUGAAGUUCAACAUGUCUUGGAUGUGUUUCUCUAGAUAAUCUCUAACAUUUCAAUUUCCUCUUUUGAAAUACAUACUUCCUAUUGCUUGUCUUCAGAAGCUAUCUCUAAUUUAAAGUGUUAGAACCCCACUAGGAAGUGUAAAAUAAUACUUUAGGGUCAGCCAACUUGGAGAAUCCUGACAUUUAACAGCUGUUAAAACUUGGAAACAUUAGAUGUUCUUUCUGAACUUCCAGUUCGUCAUAGAUAACAGUGUUACGAAUAAUACCCACUUCAUAUUUUAUGGAGGCUAAAUGAGAUCACGUGUAAAAUUUUUCAUGCAUCAUAGGAGCUUGAUAGAUACUAGUUAUUUUCUGGGACAAAUACUGGACAGUCUGAAUUUGUGUGUGAAAAGUAUCUUAAGCACUGCUUGCUUAUCAAGUCUUCUAGACUAGAUGUAUGCAUACAUUAUUAAAAACAUAAUUCAAUUCAGUUCAUUAAAUAUUUAUCUAAGUUCAGCUGAGAAGUGCACAGCAUUAUGCUAGUGACUGAGAGAGAAGAAGACAGUUUCUGCCUUUCUGGAGUGAUAACAUUUUCAUAAAUAUCUCUGAUGUAAGUAGAUUGGAGUAGGUGUUAAAUUCAGAUACAAAACUAGUACAACAAUGGAAGUCCAAGACAGAAAAAAACAUCUGAUUGGAGUCAUUGGAAGAAUGCAUCUCCAAGAAGGUAAUAUGUCCCUGAAGGCCCAGUAGUGAGUAACUUUGAGAAUUUCUGAGUGAAUUUACUUGGUAAAAAAGUAGAUUUAGCAGCAAGAUAUAAAUAAAUUAAUCAUGAAUAUAGAAAUAAACUUUAAACAAAAUUAUAACAGAAAUAAGAGCUCCCUAAAAUAAUUAGCAAUGUUAAAAAAACAAACAUAACUUUUAGCCAUGAGUUUAAUCUUUGCAUGAAAAAUAUUUUAUUGAUUUUUAUUGGAAUGCAAAGAGAUUGCUUCUGUGCUUCAUGCUUUAAACAUCCAGGAAACUUUACCCAAGUCUGAAAUUGAUUACGUCAGUUUUUGAUUUCAAGGAAAAUAUGUGUAGAUUUUAUUUGAAGUAGUUUGUUUUGAAAACUAUGAAGGAAUUAAACAUAAAUCAUUUAUUCCUCAAACAAUUUAUUCAACAAAUAUUCAUCGCAUGUAUGCUGUGUGCCAGGAACUCUUCCAGGCUCUGGGAAAUAUGUCUCCAAGAAAGCAGACAAUACCCCUGCCCUCUGUGGAAGACUGACAAAUAUACAAGUGCAUAUGUAUAUAUAGACUGUCAGAUGAUGUAAGUAUGAUGAAGAAAAUGAAAGCCAUGUAAUGGGUGAUGGAGCGGGGCAUAGAAAGGUGCCAUUUGCUAUUUUAUAGAAGUAGAUCAGGGAAGACCGUGUCAUGAUAGACAUCUGAGCAGAGACCAUUCCAGGUGUGGGAGCAUGUCAGAGAGGUAUCCAGGGGCAACAGUUCCAGGCAGAGAAAGCAUGAAGAGCAAGGUGCCCAAGGCCAGAGCAUGUGUGCUUGGCAUUUUCCAGGAGCAGCAAGGAAUUUAGUGUGGCUGAAGGAGAAUGAGCAAGGGAGAAAGCAGCAGGAGAGUGCCCAUGAAGCCCUGUGUGCCAUUACGAAGACUCUGCUUUUUUUCUUUUGAGUCGGAGUCUCGCUCUUCCGCCCACGCUGGAGUGCAGUGGCGCGAUCUCGGCUCACUGCAAGCUCCGCCUCCCGGGUUCACGCCAUUCUCCUGCCUCAGCCUCCCGAGUAGCUGGGACUACAGGCACCUGCCACCACACCCCGCUAAUUUUUUGCAUUUUUUUUUUAGUAGAGACGGGGUUUCACAGUGUUAGCCAGGAUGGUCUCGAUCUCCUGACCUCGUGAUCCGCCUGCCUUGGCCUCCCAAAGUGCUCACCCUCCCUACCUUUAGCGUCUGCCUCACCUCUUGUCUCUGUGUGCCUCUACACCUGUGCUGUCUUGUAUGGUCACCACUAGCCACAUGUGUCUACUGCGAACUUGGAAUGGGGCUAGCCCAAAUGGACAAUAUGAGAAAAAUGUAAAAUAUCUCAAUACUUUUCGUAUUGUUUCAUACGUUGAAAUACAAAUAUUUUGAAUAUAUUUGAUUAAGAAAAAUGAAUUCCAUAUUUCUUUUCUUGUAAUUAACAUUUUUGUUUUGAGAUAAUUCUAGAUUUCCAUGCAGUUGUAAGACAUAACACAGAGAAAUCCUGUGUACCCUUUAUCCAGUUUUCCCAAUAGCAAUAUCCUGCAAAUCUUAGUCACAAUAUUGCUACUAGAAUAUUGACAAUGAUACUAUCUUAUUCAUAUUUUCCUAAUUUUCAUUGUACUCAUUUGUGUGUGUGUUUGUGUGUGUAGGUGUUUAGUUCUGUGCAACUUUAUCACGUGUAGGUUGUAUCUACCACCACAUCAAAAUACAGAACUGUUCCUUCAUCACAGAUUCCUUAUAGUUCCCUUUUAUAACCACUCUGCCCUCCUUCCUGUGCCCUGUCCCUGCCCAACCCUGACCCCUAGCAACUACUGGUCUUUUCUCCAUUUCUAAAUUUUUAUCAUUUAAAGAAUUUUGUGUAAAUGAAACCAUACAGUAUGUAAACUUUUGGGAUUGCCUUUUUUUUCCUUAGCAUAAUUCUCUGAAGAUUAAUCCCAGUCAUUUUAACAGUUCAUUCUUCUUUUUUUGCUGAGUAGUAUCCCCUGGUAGGGAUGUACCACAAAUUUUAUUUAACUACGUGCCCAUUGAAGUACCAAGUUGGUUCCUGUUUUUGCUAUAAUCAUUUCUGUACAGGUUUUUGUAUAAUCAUGAAUUAUAUUUGUCUAGUUUAAAGGCUCAAGAGUCCAAUUGCUAACUCACAUGGUAACGGCAUGUUUAUUUUAUAAGAUUGCCCGAUUGUUUUCCAUGGUGUCUGUACCCAUCUGUUGCAUUUUGCUCUUUUUCACUGUGGCUAUUAGACAAUUUAAAAUUACAUACAUAAUUUUUCACAUUUGUAAUAAUUUUUCACAUUUCAAAAGAACAGCACCCAGACAGUUCUUGUUCUCAAGAACAGGACUUGAGACAGUCCUGUUCUCCAGUACCAAGCUCUUACCACCUCAGGCUUUCCCAGGUGCCUCAAUUUCUAGCUGGAGUGUGUUCUCAUUAUCCCCGGACAGAUGCACAGACUUCUACAGCACAGUGAGUGGUUAAAAAAAGAAUCUAAAACUAAGCAAGCUGGGUUUGGAUGCUGGGUCUAUCCCUUACUGGCUCUGAUUUGUUAAGGUAUUUAAUGCCUUUGUUCCUCAGUUUUCUUAUCUGUGAACAGGGUGACUGUAGCAGUACUGAUGUCAUUAGGUUGGUUUCAGGGUUGAGUGAGCUAGUACAUGUGAAAUUAUGUCCCACUGAAACCCUUCUAACCCUUUAUCCAAGGUUUAAAUCCUCAUAUAGACUUCCAUUGCAAUCAAUGUCCUUGUUAAAAUUGUAAUUACAUGAUUGUAUUAGUCUGUUUUCAUGCUGCUGAUAAAGACAUACCCAAUACUGGGCAAUUUACAGAAGAAAGAGGUUUAAUGGAUUUACAGUUCCACAUGGCUGGGGAGGCCUCACAAUCAUGGUGGAGGGCAAAAAGGAGCAAGUCAUGUCUUACAUGGAUGGCAACAGGCAAAGAGAGAGCUUGUCCAGGGAAACUCCUGUUUUUAAAACCAUCAGAUCUCGUGAGACUCAUUCACCAUCAUGAGAACAAUGCAGGAAAGACCUGCCCCUGUAAUUCAAUCACCUCCCACCAGGUUCCUCCCACAACACGUGGGAAUUGUGGGAGCUGCAAUUCAAGAUGAGAUUUGGGUGGGGACAUGGCCAAACCAUAUCAAUGAUUGUUUCAUAUUUUUCUCCACUACUGGAAUCUAAAUACCUAUGAGGCCAGUGACCUCAUCUAUCUGAUUUAGUGCUGUAUCCUCAUUGCUAGCACAGAACUAGUUAAGAGAAGGCACUUAACAUAUCACUUAAGAAUGAAUGAAUGAAUGAAUGAAUGAAUUUCCUUCAAUGUAAACAUUUACUCACUAUUUACUUAAAGUACUAUUUUGUUUAAUUUAUCCUUUCUUAAUGUUUAAAAGAUCAUGUAUUAUUCAUGUUUCUCUGAUUCGGAAGACUAGGCCUCUAAGUUAUCUGAACAGUUUUUACAUGAAGAUCCCACGUAUUCUGAAAUAAAAAUUGUUCCAGUGUAAUGACAAAAAUCAAAUGAAAAAAUAAUUAGACAUAUCUAUAUGAUACUAUUUGAUUGUUAGUUGUGUUUAAUGUGUGUGGCUUAAAUAAUCAUUUUAUUGUUAUACUAGGAUUCCCUAAGGUUGACAGAAUCCAUGUUACUUAACUGCUUCCUUUGGCUUUAUGGGCCUUUUGAAGUCUUAGCCCCCAAAGCAUCAGUAGGUGAUAUUGACAUUGAAGUACUUCUUUAUCUCUCUGCAGAUAAUUUUAUCUCAUUAUUUCAAUUAUUUAUGGCUUCAAUUAGGUAACCUCCAUGACAUUCUUAGGAAAUUCAGAAAAAAACAUGGCACAACUUCGAUGAUUUUCAUUUAGCCACUCUCUAAGACCCAAACUGUGUACCAAUCAUCAUGAUCAACAGCAUAUGCUUUUACACACACACACACACACACGUGCACACACACACGCACAUUUUGUUAGUUAUCUACCUUUACUUCCUCAUCUACUGAGGGCAGUUUCUGUAGUAGAAAGAACACUGACUUAUGGUUAUUCUGAGCUAGGGUGAGUUAAGCUCUUGCUCUACCAUUUUUAUUAACUCUGAAGUCUUGAAAAGACCAAUUAGCAUGUUUCAGCCUUCAUUUGCUACAUACUGGGAAUCAUACCUGGAGGAAUCACAUUGAUGACAAAACACAAGAGUCCAUGUAUAGAACCCUAAUAAUAAAUAGCUCCAUAUUUGGAUAGUACUAGCCCAUGUGCUGAAUCUCAGGGACAUACUUAUAGAUGUACGUUUCCUCCAAUUUCCCCUAUGUGCCCUCAAAGGCAGGUAUCACUGGGCCAAUGUUAUACAUUAAAUAUGCUGAGUAUCAGAAGUGAAAUUUAACUUCACACAGUUAUGUGACAAGACUGUGCUAUAAAACCAUGACUAAAUCCAAACUGAUCCAUAGGAGGGUAAAAUGUCUGUUUUCUUCAUUAAAACUUCUCAGCUCAAAUUUAUACUAAAGCAUAUCCAAGAAUUAAAAAAUGGUUUUGAUGAUAUUUGCUUUCUAGUUUAAUAAGUUUUAAUACUGAAUAGGUUAAAUUAAUACAAAAUAACAUAAAAUGCUAAUAUUUAUUGAGUAUUUACUUUGUACCCAGUACGAUCUUAAGUAAUUUACUGGGAUUAUUUUAUUUUAGUUUAACAAUGCAGGUAGCUACUAUAAUCGUCCCUAUUUUACACUUGAGGAAACAGGCUAAGAGAGAUUAAAUUAGUGGCCCAAGGUCAGAAAGCUCAUAAUUAUUGAAACCAGGGUAUGAUUCUGUGUAACGUGAGGGUUCAAGCCUUUACCAGUGAUGCAUGUUGCCUCUUAUUUCAUUAAUUUAAAUUGGUCAUUUGGGCUAAUCACAUAGAAGGUGACGUUCCCUUUUGUUUUUGUAUGACUUACUUACAUUCUUCAACAUUUUUCAUCCACAGUGUGAUAAAAUAAUAUUAUGUUCAUUCUCUUCUAUACCUUUACAUUUGUGUUUCCCUAUGGCCUUUAUAAAUAAAACGAACAAUUUCAAUAGCAAAUCCUUGCGUGAAGUGAGUUAGUGCAUCUGGCUCCUCCCAUUUUCCUAUUGCAACCCAAGGACUUUGAGGGUCAUCAUCAUAUCUACCUAUAGGCCAGCAAUAAUUUUCAUGAUUGGGUAACUCUAGUACUAUGGAUAUGAAAAUGUAAUACUAUAUAUUUUUUUAAAAGUACUUCUAUUUUAGUAGAUCUCUAUAUAACUACCUUCUGGAAUAACAAUAUUAUGUGGAUUAUUUUUUAUAAUUAAAAUAUUAAAUCCUUAUUUAAAGACUGCUGUUUAUUUGGCUAUUUAUUUACACAUUACAUAUGAGUCUCUGUUUGGAAUUUGUUAGUUUCUAUACAUCUGCUCCAUGAGCUAUUUGUAUGUGAAAAUUGCUGCUUUAUAAGAACAUUUGCCUUUACGUGUUGCUAUUUUAUUAUUGUUAUAUUUAAUUGGAAUGCCUCUAUUGUGUAACCAGAAAGAGUUUUCCAAACUUGGGAAUGUUUGCAUCACAUAGUAUAGAGAUGUUUAUUUAUUUAUUUAAUUUCAUUUCCCUAAGAUAUCAACUUUGAUUAAUAAUUGUAUACAGGCUUUGUUCUUCUUAUCUGGGUGUCAACAGUAAUUGGAAUCCAUAUCCAUAUCCUACCUUGCAAUCAUGCUGCAAAAGGCCAAUGAAUUCCCGCUGAGUGUGUUACUUGUUAAAUUUAGUGCAUUACAUUCAGGGUAAUGAAUAAAAGCAGUGGACCGUUACCGUCUGGCUGGCUGAGGAAGGUUAGAACAGCCAGACUCCCCUGAGGCCUUGAGCCAGCUUAAAAACGGUGACAGGCAGAAUCAAGGGAGUCCCCAAGCAUCAUAGUUCAGUUUGUCUCCCUUAAUUUCCUCUUCUGUAGAGACUCAGGCUGUAGGAAGGUGAGGUAAUCUUAUCCAUUAAUUCACCACACUUUCAUAAAAUGCUGCGUGCUCUGGUUUCAUUAACAAGCAAAUACAGUUUAGAUAAAUAGUUAUGUAUUUACAUUUGAGUAGGAAAGUGAGAAUGCUACUGAAUGUAAACAAGUGGCUACACCUUCAUGCAGUUCACUUUGCAUAUCCACAUAUGUCUAUUGUGUAUUCAUUUGUCUGUAUUAAAAAUGCACAUAGAUAUUUUUGUGAGUGAAUCAUCAAUAAAGCAAGCCCCAUAGGUAUAUAUGUCUACCUACCUCCACCUCAUAUUUAUUAAACACACGUAAGCAGUCACUGAAAAAAGGACUACAACAUUGCUAAGGCUACUUACAACUGUUUCUUAAUAAAUAAAUACAUGCUUCAUAUAAAAAUAUUAUUUUUAAAACUGUAAGGUAAAAAUUUCCGAUGUAUGGUAAAUAUGCAAAUGCAACGAUAUUAGAAAAAACUGGUCUAUAUUCUCAGUUUGCUGUUUACAGUUGUGAGAACUGAGUGAGAGUCCUUAUUCUCCCAGUGUAAUAAUUAUUACACAUUAUGCUUCCUGCCAAAACUAGCUGACUGCCUUAGUCCUUUGAGCUGUUGUGAAUAUCAAUAUCAAUUCAAAAACAACUAUUUAAUAACAACUUUCUUAAAGAAAGGAAGAAAAUAUAAUUUUAUGAAAUGACCACUUUUACUAUUCUUGAGUGUCUCAGAAAAUUUAGUGUAAAGUGUCCUUUGCUAUCCAGGAUAUAACAGCUGGUUCCAGAUAACAUGGUAUGUCUCAUUAGAGAGAUACUAGAUCUAAUUAUGCAACAUAUAAGCGAGAUCAUUAUAGAAACAUUAUCUCGAUGGGGUAAGUAAAGUACAUGUGAAAUCUAACUCUGCUGUUUGAAAGAAUUUUUGAAAGCAAAUGUAAGGAAUUAAUGAUUACUUAAGUGUAUGAAGAAAGCUGUUGCAAACUAUGAAUCUUUGACAUGUAAUGAAAAAAUAUAAUAGAAUGAUAAGGACCCUGAUUAUUUGUGCUAGAGAUAAAAAUGAACUUCUGGGCAAAUAUCUUUUGCUACCGACAAAUUUUUUUUCUAAACAUAGUAAAAAUGAGUGCCUUUUCAUAGCAUUUCUACUGUGUCAGAAAUUCUCAAACUUCAGAGUGUAACUGAAACACAGAGAGGGCUUAUUAAAACAAAGAUUGCCGGUCUCCAAUCUCAGAUUCUGUUCAAUAAGGCUAGGUAGGGCCAGAAAAUUUGCAUUUCUAAAAUUCCCAAGUGGUGUUCAUGUUGCUGGCCCAGGUCCACUAUUUGAGAACCACUGCACUAUGUGAAAAUCACUAAAGAAGACGCUUAACUUACAUUAUCUUCUUGAUUAUUUUUCUGUAAGAUGCAAGUCCAUGGAUUCUAUUCUGUUAGGUAUUUUGCUUUCUUUCCUUUUUAUUUUUUAGAGACAAGGACUCACUGUGCUGCCCAGGCUGGUAUUGAACUCCUGGGCUCAAGUGGUCUUCUCACUUCAGCCUCCCAAAGUGCUGGGAUUACAGGUAUGAGCCACCAUGCCCAGCUUGCUUGAUAUUUUUCAAUUAAGCUAUCUAUCUAUCUUUGAAAAUCUAGAUUCCUUUACAAAUAAAUCUAUCUUCAAAAUAUAGUUAAGACUAUAUGCCGGUCGGGCGCAGGGGCUCAUACCUGUAAUCGCAGCACUAUGGGAGGCUGAGGCUGGCGGAUCACGAAGUCAGAAGUUUGAGACCAGCCUGACCAACAUGGUGAAACCCCGUUUCUACUAAAAAUACAAAAAUUAUCCAGGUGUGGUGGUCGGCACCUGUAAUCCCAGCUACUCAGGAGGCUGAGGCAGGAGAAUCGCUUGAACCCGGGAGGCAGAGGUUGCAGUGAGCUGAGAUCGCGCCAGUGCACUCCAGCCUGGGUGACAGGGCGAGACCCCAUCUCGAAAAAAAAAAAAAAAAAAAAAAAAAGAGGCUAUAUGCCAAGCAUUAGGCAUAUUUAUAAUAGCAUAUUUAUAAACAACAGCACAAAUAAUAAAAUGAAUAGAUAUUACCAGCUUAAUAAUUGACUUAGCAAGGAAGAGGCCAGGAAUAAUUAGAGGUUUCAGCUCUACAAAGCUAAUUUUGCUUACUCUUAUCUGUAGACGUUGUCUUUUUCCUAAGAAGACUGAGUUUACUAAGUUUAUUAAUUCUGUUCAUAUCAAUUUUAAAUUUAUCAAAAAGUAGCUACUGGGUCAAAGUUCUUGAUAUUGAAAAACUGGAUUAUGAUCUGUUUUCCAAGUUGAUUUUAACUAAGCGAUUUGACUAACUCUUGUCUCCAUCUUCACAGCAAAACAGAGCGUGACACUCCCAAUCAUCUGCAUGCUGGAAAUAAGGAAAUGGUUAUUGAAUGAUACAAGUGCUUUUCGAUCAUUUAGAAAGUUCUGUUUCCCAAGAUCGUUUUUUGUUUUUUUGUUUUUUUUUUUUUUUUGAGACGGUGUCUUGCUCUGUCACCCAGGCUGGAGUGCAGUGGCGCGAUCUCAGCUCACCACAACCACCGCCUCCUGGGUUCAAGCGAUUCUCCUGCCUCAGCCUCCCGAGUGGCUGAGACUACAGGCGUGUGCCACCAUGCCCGGCUAAUUUUUGUAUUUUUAGUAGAGACAGGGUUUCACUAUGUUGGCCAGGCUGGUCUCAAACUCCUAACAUCGUGAUCUGCCCGCCUUGGACUCCCAAAGUGCUGGGAUUACAGUUGUGAGCCACUGUGCCUGGCCUAGCAAGAUCACUUUUUAAGUAUCCAGAAAAGCUCUUUCUUAUGUUGAAUUAUGUCCAGAGGCAUAACUAGACUGAAGGUUUAGACUCCAUUCAUUCUCCUAUGUUUUUGUUCUUAACUGCAUUCUGCAGUCAAAUCAGGAGCUUUAGAAAAUACUGAUGCCUGGCUCUCAACCAGAGAGAACUGAAUUGAAUUGGUCUGGUGAGUAGACACAGGUCAUUAGGAUCUUUAAAAAAUCUUCUCAUGUGAUUACAAUGUGUAGCUGAGAGUUUGAGACCAAUGUUUACCGUUAUUUACAGGUGAAUUCAUUAAAAGAGCUAACAACAAUGAAGUUAAUGUACGCAUCUCACCUCUCAAGAGUAUUAACAGGCCAGGCGUGUUGGCUCAUACCUGUACUCCCAGCACUUUGGGAGGCCAAGGCGGGCGUAUCACCCGAGAUAAGUUCAAGACCAGCCUGACCAACAUGGCGAAACCCCGUCUCUACUAAAAAUACAAAAUUAGCCAGGCAUGGUGGUGCAUCCCUGUAAUCCCAGCUACUCGGCGGGCUGAGGCACAAGAAUUGCUUGAACCUGGGAGGCAGAGGUUGCGGUGAGCCGAGAUCCUGCCAUUGUACUCCAGCGUGGGCAACAGGAAUGAAACUCUGUCUCAAAAAAAUAAACAAAUAAAAAUAAGUAUUAACACAUGGGAAAUCAUAAAGUUUUCAUUCUUAGUAGUGUGUCUUUGAAUGUUUUGACCACGCAGAGAUGGGAUUAUCAUGGUAAAAUCCACUCUAUGGAUUUACCAUAAUCUUGGUGGUAGCGUGUAAACAGAAGCAAUAUUUAUUAUGAGAGUUAAAGUUUCAUUUGGUUUAGGUUCAUAUUUUCUUUCUCCUGUCGGUCUGCAAUGGCUCCCUAACAGAAUUCCAGAGAGCAUAUGAUGUGCUAGGCUCUGUGUAGGGGACAGGAACACAGUGGUAAACCAACGUAAAGGUAAGUUUCUAGAAUAAUUAGUAAUAUGUUUAGAAUAAAUACAAAUAUGAAAAUCAUUGGAAAAUUAAAAGAUUUAAAUGUUUAAAAAAGAUUUACAAAUCAACAAUAAUUUGAUGUUAAAAUAUAGAUUAUAUUGACAAAAAGUAGAAAGGGAAUGUGGAUGUGAAGAGAGGGAAUAAAAGGAGUAUAAAAGGAAAGAUGUAUUAAUAUUUUUGUCCUAAUUGGGCAGGGAAAACUGUGCUGCUUCAUUCUUGGCUUUGAUACUAACACAGGUAUAAAGUAUAAGAAAUAUAUGGAGACACUUUAAGGAGACAUACAAAAUAAAUAUAAAAUAUAAACAUUGUGUAUAAUUAUCAAAUAACUAGUCAAGAAUCACAUAAUUUAAAUAACUAAAAUCAAGGCAAUAAAAGACAAAGUUAAUAACUGUUAUUUAAAAGGAUUUGUACCCUACAAACAGAAAGUAUACAUUUUUCAAGCAUCUAUGAUUUACCAAAAUAGACUAGUAUUAGUUAAGAACAAGAUAAUAAUAAUAAAUAACAGAAAUUUCAGGAAUUACAUAAGGUCACAACUUAAUAAUACAAAAAAAUAAUCUUUUCAUAAAAACAUUCCCCAAAAAUAUUAAAAACAAACAACAAAUCAAUAGCAACAUUAAAAUAAGCAAACCAUUUGCCUAAAUAACUGUUGUGACAAAAGGCAAACUAAACCAUAAUUGUAGGCCAUUUAAGAACCUACUAAAUUACAGCACCACGUUUCAACACUGAUGUAUUACCAAAGCUGUUCUUAGAGAAAAAUUCAUAGGCUUUAACAGUCUAUUAAAAAGAAGUGUAAAAGAAUCACGUCUUUAUCACAGGAACUUAACUGGACUACAAUAAAGCAAAGAUGAAACUUAGAAACAGAAGGAACACAAAUUUAAUUGCAUUAGAGAAAUUGGAAAAUCAAAAAGUAAAUCACAGAACUAAUAUUUUUAAAGAAAAAAAUUCUUUACUAUUUUAAAAGGAAUAAGAAGCAAAAAAAAAGAAAAAGAAUACAACAUGCAGAAAAUUUUUUAAAAAUACUGAGGGUAAUAUUUAAGAAGGUAAUUGCAAAUUUCUAGAAGAAAUGCUAGCAAAUGUAAUUUGUAUAGGAUGUUAAAACAAUACUUAAUAAUCCAUUACUACUUUAUCUUAGCAAUACAUAGAUGAUUUCAAUAAUCAAUUUAUAACAUUUGAUUUUAUAUAGCAGCAUUUUAUCUCUCCAUGUAUUCAAGUUUUCUUAUAGGACUCAUAAAUAUGUUUUAAUAGACUUCUGGCAAGUUUAUGCUUUUGUGAAAAUUAGAAAGAUUUUUUUCCAUUACAUUUUUUACCUGGUUAUUGCUGGAUUGGAAGAGUCACAAAAUUCCACACACACAACUUGGAGGUAAACAAAAAAUACAGCACACAUAAUCUGGUCUUUUUCUGAAUUCCAUGUCCAAAAUUUGUCAGAAAAACAAAGUGUGCAAUCUCCUGUGAAUCUACUCUGAUCUACUAUACUAAAAAAUACUUAGUCUUUUUGUGUUGCAUUUUCUCCCCCUUCCCCAUUAUCUCCUCCUAAGCCUUUCCUGGGAAUUGCAAGCCCACUAGAGAUCCUAUUCUGUCACUAAGCAAAAUCUGAUUUACAAUUUUGGCUAAGGAGAGGGAACAUAUUAAAACAUAUCAACAAUUUGAGAAUCAAUAUUAUUAAAUUUCAUGUAGGUUUUAGAAAUGUUUUACUUGUAAACUUUAGACUUCAUUUUAUAAAAUUACAUUUUUAAAACUUUUUACAUUUUUAGGAAAUACAUGUUAGCUAAAAAACUGUGUUUUGCUCCCUGCUACGUUUGCUUAUCCUAUCCUUCAUUACUCCUUGGAUUUUAGUCUAACUGGUCUUCGGACAUGCCUCUUCCCCACAAACACCCCCACCACCAUACCACAUUGCUGUGACACAUUUAGCUUAUUAAUGUGGUAAGAGUGGAGCUCACUUACAGAAUUUUUGCAGACUAGACAUUAGGCUACAGGCCUUUACCAUGGAGCAGAAAAGUGGUAUCUCAAACCUCAUCCACAAAGGUUGAUCUAGUCCAAGCCCCUCUCCAGGUUCAUGUUCAUGUACAGCUUUGUUCUUACUAUAACAACCUACAUUUUAGAAUAGGCAACAAAGACCAUUACCAAGAGCAGUAGGAGGGGCAACCUUUGGCUGUUUGUUUUUCAGGAUCUCAACUUGUGAACUUACUCUUCUCUUCACACACAGAAUGGGAUAACUGCCUGGCACUCACCAAGCUACACUUGAAGAGGAUCAAUCCAUAUCAUCAUGUCCCCAAUUUCAUAGCACCAAGUAUUUUGUUUAUUCACAAAUGCCCUAUUAUGGACAUCUAGCAAACAAUGAUACAUCAAAAAAGGAGAUGUGCAUAAAUUUUCAUGGAAUAAGGGACACGCAUGAAAUUUGGUGCCAUGACUCGGAUCCGGGGAAUCUCCCUUGAGAGAUCAAUCCCCUGUCCUCCUGCUCUUUGAUCCAUGAGAAAGAUCCACCUACAACCUCUGGUCUUCAGACCGACCAGCCCAAGGAACAUCUCACCAAUUUUAAAUCGGGGACGCGCAUGAAAGAACGUGCCACAGAAAAUGAGACACAUCAGUGAGGGUUGUGGAAAAUGCACUAGAAUCAACAAACAUGGGGACUAAUUCAACUCGGAUAUCAUGUCUUCAGAGAAGUUUUUCCUGCCCUCCUCUCCCUGUAGAAUUAAGUAUUCUUCCACUGUGCCACCCUCUAACUUGUGCUCAUAUCUUCCUCUAUUGUAGUUAUGUGUUCACAUCCCUGUUGUUUUUGUACCGGCUUCUCCCAAAGGGAGACAUUUAGUCUUAUUCUUCUUGGUAACUUUAGCACAGACCUGGCAGAUUGUUGACACUCAACAAAUGUUUAUCGACUCAAAUGCGUUCAAUUGAACAUUGACCUUUGAUCAACUCUGGGAAAAGUCUGCAAAGCUAGUUAGGACAUUCAGAAAUUCAUUUCAUUUCAAUCCUAACUAAAUAAAUUAUUGAAGUCUCAGAACUUCUCAGUACUUGAUUUAGACACAUAGAAACUUGGGUAAAGAACACCUAUAUUGUUAUAUUCCUCAAAAAAAAGUUUAUCUUUUCAUGAAAUGAAUCUACUGAGGAUAUUUAUAGAAACUGAAUGUAAGGGAGCAGAAUAAAGUGGUGUGUGUGUGUGUGUGUGUGUGCGUGUGUGUUUGUGUGUGUGUAUGUAAUUUGAAGAGUAGGUGGGAGAAGGUUGUGAUAGGAUAGCAGGUCUUGUUUAUGAUAGUCACUAGCUAUAACAGACACUGCCUGAUGCCUUUCCAAUAUUCACUUCCCUUUUCUUUUUUUUUCUUUUUGGAACAGAGUCUCACUCUGUCCCUCAGGCUGGAGUGCAACAGCACGAUCUCGGCUUACUGCAUCCUCUGCCUCCUGGGUUCAAGCAAUUCUCAUGCCUCAGCCUCCCUAGCAGCUGGGAUUACAGGCUCUCGCCACCACGCCCAGCUAAUUUUUGUGUUUUUAGUAGAGACGAGGUUUUGCCAUGUUGGCCAGGCUAGUCUUGAACUCCUGACCUCAGGUGAUCCACCUGCCUCGGCCUCUCUAAGUGCUGGGAUUACAGGCGUGAGCCACCGUGCCUGGCUCUCUUUUCUUACUUAAUGUCUGUGUCAAUUAAAUAGAAAUGUAUCAAGUUAAAAACCUUGCUUCGGUAGCUUCCAGUGCAAAUAAAGGUACCCAUGCCACCCCAUUCUGGCCAACAGUAAAAUUGAUGGAAGCCUCUGGUUGGGGCUUCAAGGAAAGCUUUAUCAAAAGAUAAACUCACUGGGUUUGUCCCUUAGUUCAGUGGUCCCCAACCUUUUUGGCACCAAGAGACCAGUUUUGUGGAAGACAAUUUUUUCCAUGGACCAGGAGGGUUCCGGGGGAUGGUUUUGGGAUGAAACUGUUUCACCUUAGAUAUCAUCGGGCAUUCAAUUCUCAUAAGGAGCCUGCAACCUAGAUCCCUUGCAUGUGCAGUUCACAGUAGGGUUCAUGCUCCUAUGAGAAUCUAAUGCCACUGCUGAUCUGACAGGAGGCAGAGCUCAGGCAGUAAUGCUCACUAGUUCCGUUGCUCGCCUCCUGCUGUGCAGCCCAGUUCCUAACAGGCCACAGACCAGUACUGGUUCGCAACCCAGGGUUUGGGGGCCCCUGUCUUAGUUCCUUUGCCUUCCUUCCAGAUGGAUGCCUGGAGGAACAAUCAUCCCGCAAUUGUGAAAAUUGAAGCCAUAUUUUAAAGUUGGUUUCAACUGUAAUACAGAAGAAAUCUGGACCUUGAUGACAUUUGAGCUACAGUACUAAUCUUGAUCUUCCUAUUCAUGAGCUUGUUGCAAGAGACAAGACUUUUACUGAUUUAACUCAUUGUUGGGAUUUCUUGGAACUAGACACAGUCAUAAUACAUUUUUUCCUUCCCAGUAAAAUGGUAGAGCAUGACUUUUCAAAUCUAAUAAAACUCAUGUGUAGCUAAAACCAUUCUACAGAAACAAUUCCAUCUCAGCCCAUGGUACAAGGGAUUUUCCUGAAUGAGAAAUGGUGUCUGAUCAUUUUGUUGGUUUCUUUGUUGGUUUUUCCUGAAACUUAGGGUUAAAGAAUCCAGGAAAGUUGUCUAGAUAGAGUUAUAAUUUCUGUGGACAUCAACUGAUAAAUGCACUUACAGUUUGUAUGCCUAGGUUUGGCAAAAAUCAUAGAAGCAACAUCCCUCACAUAAUAUUGUUUUAAUUAAAUUUUAUUUCUUUCUUGGUAUGAAACAUACUGCAGAAGCACAAUCAAUGGACAUUGGAUAGUUUCCUUAAAUCUUGCUCUUUGUCCUAUUUAUAUAAUUUAUUGUGUCAGUGGUUCUCAACUGGUAUGCUCCUGCAACUCAUCAUCUGAAAAUCCUUCCCAGAUGUGCUGAAAAAUGUUCAUUAAUUGUAUAUUCUAUUUUAUUUUUAUAACUAAGUACACAUGCUUGUGACUGGAAGAGAAAACACCCCUCAUUUAAUCCCAGAGGAAUAUUUGGCCUUGAUUCAUUCCCUGCUCACUCCACCCCAUUAUUAAGAUAGAGAUUGCUGAAGAAAUCCCUGCUCUAUAAAUGUAGCUGAUCCAAAAACAAAAUGGAAAUUCAUUAUUUUAAAGAUUUCUACAAGAUCUUUGUACAACUCUAUUUUUUUUCCUAUUAAGAAUUACAUGAUUCUAGAAUAAGUUCCAACCCUAAGUAUCAACACUGGAACACAAUUUUAAAACAGGGGGCGAUUAUCUCUAUAGUGAGAUUUAACUACAGAGGUGAUAGCUCUGGUUAGUGAAUUUCAAGACUAGAAAUCAGGCCUGCUGUCUUUUAGCUUAGAGGAGGUAUAAUAAGAAGAGGAUUAGAACUACUGUGUAUAUUAACAAGAAGAACUCUAUUAUGUUCAGCUAUCAUUAUAUAUGAUAUUAUGUUUCUUUUUAUGAACUAUAGUUCACUGUCUUUAAGCAUAAUGUUUGCCCAAGGUGGGGGUGUUGGUGUGUGUCUGUGUGUAUAUGCAUGUGUGCACACGUGUGUAUGUAUAGUUGAUUCAUUCAUUCUGACCUACUGAAUUUACUGAAGGAAUAAGAAGAAAUACCUUGAACUGAGGGACCUGGCUUAGCUCAACAUCUGUACCAUCUACCUUUGAGUAUCCAUUCCUUUACUGUGAAGCAUAGAUGCUAAAACUAAAAUUGCAUUUGCUAAACUACUUUGUAGCUAGAUUCCUGGGUGAGAUUAGAUUUGGUCAAUUAGAUGUUCUUGUAUAACAUUUAGAAGGUGAUAGUAAGGCAAAGGUCAUGUGACUGGCUGACUUUGUUUAUGUUCAAUGAUCUUUAUUGGGGUACACUUUAUAUAUAAUAAUAAAUAAUGCACACAUUUUAAGUGUACAAUUUGAUGAGUUCUGACAAAUUUAUAUGCAUGUAUAACCAGCAUCAAUAUCAAGAUAUAUAAUGAUCCCCUCGUUCCAGAAUAGUCUCUUGUGUUCUUUCCAGCCAAUGCCCCACCCCUGGAUUCUGGCAACAAUUGAUCUGCUUUUUAUUACCAUGGAUCAUAUUUGUCUUUCCUAGAGAUACAAAUAAAUGAAAUAAUGUAGUGUGUCCUCUUUAACUUUGGCUUAUUUCUCUCAGCACACUAUUUCUGAAAUUUGUCCAUACUGUUGAUAUGGCAGACAGAAUUUUAAGAUGGUUCCUAAAAUUCUUGCCUCCUGGUAUGUAUAAUUUUCUCUCAGUUUUCCACUGAACACUAACCUAGGUGCUAUUGUAAAGGGAUUUCUCAAGUGUAAUUAAAGUCCCUAAUAAGUUUAUUUUAAGUUAGAAAAAUUUUCCCAGGUGAGCUUGAGCUAAGUGAGUGACCUAAGCAGGUGAGUUGUUAGAAAAAAAUUAAGAGAUAUUUGAAGCAUAGACAAAAUUCUGUUGGCUUUUAAAAGAAAACUUCCAUGUGAUAGAGAAAGCCAGAUGAUAGGGAACACAAGGUUACUCUAAAUUGACAACCAGCAAAAAAGCUGAGACUUCAGUCUUAUCAUCAUAAGGAAUUGAAUUCUGUCAACAGCCACGUGACCUUAGAGGAGGAACCUGAGCCGCAGAUGAGAUCAUGGCCCUGGCCAAUACCUUAAAUUCAUCCUGGUGAGAUAUGAGCAGAGAACUCAGCUAUGCCAUGCUCAGAUUUCUCACCUUUAGAGCAGUAAAUUAAUAAGUGAGCAUUAUUUGAAGCUGCUAAGUUUGUGGUGAUUUGUUACACACCAAGAGAAAAUAUAUACUGUAUAUAUUAUUAGAUUUUUCCUUAUAUUGGUGGGUGUAUUUGUUAUCUAUUACUUCCUAACAAAUCGACAAUAAUUAAGUGUCUUAAGACAACACAUAUUUAUUACCUCAUAGUUUCUGUGGGUCAGAAAUCUGGGCAUCGUUUAUGUGAGUUCUUUGAUUUAAAGUUGUUGGCAAAUCUGUAAACAAGGAAGCAGUCAGGACCGAGGUCUCAUCUGAAAGUCAACUUGGGAUGGGUCUGCUUCCAGCCUCACUUAACAUAACAGCUGGCAGGAUUCAGUUGCUCUUGGGUAGUUGGAUUGAUGGCCUCAGAUAACUAGGUAGCUAUUAGCUAGAUUUCACCCUCAGUUUGUUGCCGUGUGGGCCUCCCUAAGGUGGCAAUUUACUUCAUCAAAACCAGCAAGGGAGAGAGUUGGCUACAAUCUCUAGUAAUGUAGCUACAGAAAUGACAUCCCCUUAGCAAUGAGAUAUUUUAUUAAUUAGAAAGAAAUUACUCAACAGGAGGGGAUUACACAAUGUAGUGAAUACCAGGAGGCUGAGAUCAGAAGGAGCUAGUGUAGAAGCUGCCUACCACAGUGAGUAGUAUUCUAUUACAUGAAUAUACCAGAAUGUCUGAAUCCACCCAACUGGGCAUAGACAUUUGUGUUCAUUCAAGAUACAGACUAUUAUUAUUUUAAAAAUAAAAGUUACUAUGAACAUUUAAGUAUAAGCUUUUGUGUGGGCAUGUUUCAUUUGUUUUGAAUGAAAUUGCAGGGUCACAUAGAAAAUGCAUAUUUAAUCUUAUAAGAAGCUGCUUAAAAUGCUUUGCAAUGUGAUUUUACCAUUUUACACUCCCAACAAUGUAUAGCAAUGUAUCAUAGAUCUAGUGGUUUCAUAUCUCCACAAACACUUGAUAUUGUCACUCAGUUUAAUUGUAGCUACUUAAAUAGGCUUAUAAUGGUACUCGUUAUGAUUUUAAUAUGCAUUUCCCUAAUGCUUAUUAGGGACUAAUUAUGUUAAGCAUCUUUUCAUGUAUUUAGAGGCCAUUUGUGUACCUUCAUUUGUAAAAUAUCUGUUUAAGUAGCUUGCCCAUUUGGAUUGCUUUACAUUUUAUUAUAGAGUCAUAAGUGUCCUUUAUAUAUUCUGAAUAUAACUAUUUUAUCAGACAUACAUAUAUAUCAAAUAUUUUUUUCUAAGUUUGUGGUUUGUGUUUUUACUUUUUAUACUGUUUAUUGAAUAGUAGAUUUUAUAUUCAUUUUAUCCAUUCUGUUAUGAUCGAUAUUUUUUGAACUAUGAAAAUAUUGCUAUGUAAAAAUAAAAAAUAUAUUUUCAUCCUGAGUUUCAUAAUUUUAGCUUUCACUCUUAUAUCUGUGAUUCAUUCUGAGUUUUCUUGUAUAAUUUAAAGUCAGAGUGGGUGUUUGUUUGCUUAUUAAUAUAUUUAUAGAUAUUUCUAAUUCUUUCUAGCACCAUUUAUUAAAAAGUCUCUUUUUUUACCCAUUGAAUUAUUUUGUUUAAAUUGUUAUGUCUAAAAUCAAAUUACCAAAUACACAUUGUGUAUUUUGAACUAUUUAUUCUGUUUCAUUGAUUUUUAUGUGUUCCUUUACACCAAUAUCAUUGUCUUAAUUACUGUAGAUUUGUUGGAAAUAUGGGAGUCAAAUUUAAGGAUUUCAAUUUUGUCCUUUUAUCAAGUUGUUUUGGCUGUUCUAGGUCCUUUGCAUUUCCCUAUAACAUUUGGAAUUAGGUUGUCAAUAUUUCCCCAGAAUAAAGCCUGCUGGGAUUUUGAACAGGAUUGUAUGGAAUCUAUAAAUCAAUUUAGUGAGAAUUAAUAACAUAUUAAGUACUCUAAUUGAUGAACAUAGUAUCAUCUUCCAUUUAUUUAGUCUUUGACUUCUCGGAAAUGUUUUAUAGUUUUCAGUGUGUAGGUCUUGAAGUUUGUAAAAUUCUAAGUGUUUUAUGGUUUUGACUGUAAUUGUAAAUACCUCCCAUUGUUCAUUGUUAGUACAUAGAAAUAAAAUAAAUUU